ensembl:lncRNA MAPT-AS1 MAPT antisense RNA 1
GAGAAAGAAAUCCGCCCCGAGAUGCACCUGCAGCCCCGCGCCCAUCCGUGCAUGGCUGCGGCUGUGCGUGCCCGCGAACGGGGACCAGCGGCCGCCGAGUCCGUCCACAUCGCCAGGCCAGGAGUCAGAACAAGGACGGGCCUGUGAUGUGUCUGUCUAUGACGAGGAGGACAAUGUCCUAAGGAAUGGAGAGGAAGAAAGUGAAGGGAACCAGGUCCCUGGAUUCCAUGUGGAACAGUAGCCCAGGAUGUGCACUAUGGACUGUUACAAGAGAGAGACAUGAUCUUCCUUAAGGCAUUGAUUUGUCAUGAGUCUCUUUGUUAUAGCCACUUAACGUUACCUUAAUACACCCACUUCAUGGAUAAGUAAAACUGAGGCUUGGAGAAGCCCACAUUGACACAGCAAAGAAGGCUGGGGCUCUUGUGCUGGUUAAAUGGAACUUGAUGUCUUCCAAAUGUUUUCAUGCUGGAUUCUGAGCCACUCUCCUGGCUGCAACUCUGAGGCCGGGCAGACUUUCCGCUGGAAAGAGAACUCAAAUACUGGUGAGAGGUGGAUUUGAAGCCAGGAGCCCCAGGUUUUGGCUCUGCAGGUUUGCACCCAGCUCUGUGGUGUAUGCCCUCACAGGUCACCCAGGACCUCCUGUCCAGGCUUCUUCAGGCCACCCAUGAUGGAGUGGAUUUGAGGAAUGAGGUUUUCAAAGCAGUUAGUGUGCGGGAGAGUAACCCUGGGGCCUCCGGAACCAGAAGGGAGGGAUUUGGGGGCUGGAGCUUGGCAGUCCAGGUUCCAUUGUCCUCAUGUUCUCCCCACUGGCCUGGCCUGUCACUCCAGUCUCUGCAUAGGUUGUCACAUGGCAUUCUCCCUGUGUGUCUCUGUGUCUCUUCUCUUCUUUAUAAAGACAUAGUUAUAAUGGAUUAGGGCCCACCCUAA